GACGAACGCUGGCGGCGUGCUUAACACAUGCAAGUUGAACGGAAAGGCCCUGCUUUUGUGGGGUGCUCGAGUGGCGAACGGGUGAGUAACACGUGAGUAACCUGCCCUUGACUUUGGGAUAACUUCAGGAAACUGGGGCUAAUACCGGAUAGGAGCUCCUGCUGCAUGGUGGGGGUUGGAAAGUUUCGGCGGUUGGGGAUGGACUCGCGGCUUAUCAGCUUGUUGGUGGGGUAGUGGCUUACCAAGGCUUUGACGGGUAGCCGGCCUGAGAGGGUGACCGGCCCCAUUGGGACUGAGGUACGGCCCAGACUCCUACGGGAGGCAGCAGUGGGAAAUAUUGCACAGUGGGCGGAAGCCUGAUGCAGCAACGCCGCGUGCGGGAUGACGGCCUUCGGGUUGUAAACCGCUUUCGCCUGUGACGAAGCGUGAGUGACGGUAAUGUGUAAAGAAGCACCGGCUAACUACGUG
rnacentral:rRNA from 1 species